rnacentral:rRNA from 1 species
AACGUAGGACGCAAGCGUUAUCCGGAGUUACUGGGCGUAAAGCGCGGGCAGGCGGUCAGGCAAGUGGGGUGUGAAAUCUCCCAGCUUAACUGGGAGAGGCCAUUCCAAACUGCUUGACUGGAGGGCAGUAGAGGUAGGCGGAAUUCCGGGUGGAGUGGUGAAAUGCGUAGAGAUCCGGAGGAACACCAGAGGCGAAGGCGGCCUACUGGGCUGCACCUGACGCUGAGCCGCGAAAGCUAGGGGAGCGAACGGG